AUGCUUACCUGGCAGUGGAGAUUCCAUGAUCAUGAAGGUGGUUUCCCCAGGGUGAGGCUUAUCCAUUGCACUCUCUAUGUGCUGACUCCUGUGAUUUCCCCAAAUGUGGGAAACUCGGCUGCAUAAUUUGUGGUAGUAGGGGGACUGUGUUCGAGCUCUCCCCUU
ensembl:snRNA U1 U1 spliceosomal RNA